ACUCCUACGGGAGGCAGCAGUGGGGAAUAUUGCACAAAUGGGCGCAAAGCCUGAUGCAGCCAUGCCCGCGUGUGUGAAAGAAAGGCCCUUCGGGUUGUAAAGCACUUUCAGUCGUGAGGAAGGUAGUGUAGUUAAUAGCUGCAUUAUUUGACGUUAGCGACAGAAGAAGCACCGGCUAACUCCGUGCCAGCAGCCGCGGUAAUACGGAGGGUGCGAGCGUUAAUCGGAAUUACUGGGCGUAAAGCGCAUGCAGGCGGCCUGUUAAGUCAGAUGUGAAAGCCCGGGGCUUAACCUCGGAAUUGCAUUUGAAACUGGCAGGCUAGAGUCUUGUAGAGGGGGGUAGAAUUUCAGGUGUAGCGGUGAAAGUGCGUAGAGAUCUGAAGGAAUACCAGUGGCGAAGGCGGCCCCCUGGACAAGACUGACGCUCAGAUGCGAAGCGUGGGGAGC
rnacentral:rRNA from 1 species